GACGAACGCUGGCGGCGUGCUUAACACAUGCAAGUCGAACGCUGAAGCCCUUUCGGGGGUGGAUGAGUGGGGAACGGGUGAGUAACACGUGGGUAAUCUGCCCUGUACUUCGGGAUAAGCCUUGGAAACGGGGUCUAAUACCGGAUAGGACCUGUCCUCGCAUGGGGGUGGGUGGAAAGUUCCGGCGGUAUGGGAUGAGCCCGCGGCCUAUCAGCUUGUUGGGGGGGUAGUGGCCUACCAAGGCGAUGACGGGUAGCCGGCCUGAGAGGGUGACCGGUCACACUGGGACGGGGACACGGCCAAGAGUCCUACGGGAGGCAGCAGUGGGGAAUCUUGCGCAAUGGGCGAAAGCCGGACGCAGAAACGGCGCGUGGGGGAUGACGGCCUUCGGGUUGUAAACCUCUUUCGACAUCGACGAAGGGGCCCUGUUGUGGGGUUUUGACGGUAGGUGUAGAAGAAGCACCGGCUAACUACGUGCCAGCAGCCGCCGCCG
rnacentral:rRNA from 1 species